rnacentral:rRNA from 1 species
CCUACGGGAGGCAGCAGUGAGGAAUAGUGGUCAAUGGACGAGAGUCUGAACCAGCCAAGUAGCGUGAAGGAUGACUGCCCUAUGGGUUGUAAACUUCUUGUAUAAAGGAAUAAAACGAGGCACGUGUGCCGUUUUGCAUGGACGUUAUGAAUAAGGAGCGGCUAACGCCGGGCCAGCAGCCGCGGUAAUACGGAGGAUCCGUGCGUUAUCCGGCUUUCUUGGGUUGAACGGGAGCGUAGAGGGGUUGUUAAGUCAGUUGUGAAAGUUUGCGGCUCAACCGUAAAAUUGCUAUUGAUACUGGCAGUCUUGAUUACAGUUGCGGUCGGCUGAUUUCGUUUUCUAGCGG